AAGGGAGACCUAAUUCAGGUAGGAGACGAAAAAAAAGUAGUCGCUACCAAGAAUCAAUCCCAAAAGGUCGGAGCGAGGCGAAAUUGGCUUUCAAACUAGGUUCUGGGUUCACACAAGACCUGAAUCAGGAACAAGGGCUAUUAGCUCAGGUGGUUAGAGCGCACCCCUGAUAAGGGUGAGGUCCCUGGUUCGAGUCCAGGAUGGCCCACCUGUACAGGUGGCAAAAAGAAAGAAAAGAAGCGAGGAAUCAGCGCCUUAUCUUACUGACAUAGUAAGAGAGAAUGCUGGCUCUGAGUAAAGAGUCCAGAGGAACCUUGAAAACUGCAUAGAGCUAGGUGAAAAAGCCAAAAAAGAAGACCGCAA
rnacentral:tRNA from 1 species